rfam:Neotoma lepida isolate 417 scaffold_1989, whole genome shotgun sequence.
GUAGAGAUGGCUCAGCGGUUAAGAGCACUGGCUGUUCUUCCAGAGGACCCGAGUUCAAUUCCCAGUAUCCACA